rnacentral:rRNA from 1 species
GACGAACGCUGGCGGCGUGCUUAACACAUGCAAGUCGAACGGAAAGGCACUGCUUUUGUGGGGUGCUCGAUUGGCGAACGGGGGAGUAACACGUGAGUAACCUGCUCUUGACUUUGGGAUAACUUCAGGAAACUGGGGCUAAUACCGGAUAGGAGCUCCUGCUGCAUGGUGGGGGUUGGAAAGUUUCGGCGGUUGGGGAUGGACUCGCGGGUUAUCAGCUUGUUGGUGGGGUAGUGGCUGACCAAGGCAUUGACGGGUAGCCGGCCCGGGAGGGGGAACGGGGACAAGAGGACUAAGGGAGGGAGCAGACGGGUACGUGAGGCAGUGGUGGGGAGUAUUGCACAGCGAGCGCGAGUGGGUGGAAGAGGCGUCGGGUGCGUGAUGCCGGCCUUUGGGGUGUGAACCGCUGCCGGCUGUGACGCCGCGUGAGUGACGGUAAUCAGUGAAGAAGCACCGGCUAACUACGUG